UAUAUUUUAGUGUAUGAUGCACGUAGAUUUUUGAAAUCUUUAGAUUUGGUUUAAAUCCAAAAAAUAUAA
rnacentral:tRNA from 1 species